UAACCUGCCUCAUACAGGGGGAUAACAGUUAGAAAUGACUGCUAAUACCGCAUAAGCGCACAGAGAUGCAUGUCUCGGUGUGAAAAGCUGAGGCGGUAUGAGAUGGAUCCGCGUCUGAUUAGCUGGUUGGCGGGGUAGAGGCCCACCAAGGCGACGAUCAGUAGCCGACCUGAGAGGGUGGCCGGCCACAUUGGGACUGAGACACGGCCCAAACUCCUACGGAAGGCAGCAG
rnacentral:rRNA from 1 species